UACGGAGGGGGGCUAGCGUUGUUCGGAAUUACUGGGCGUAAAGCGCACGUAGGCGGCUUUGUAAGUUAGAGGUGAAAGCCCAGGGCUUAACCCUGGAAUUGCCUUUAAGACUGCAUCGCUUGAAUCGUGGAGAGGUGAGUGGAAUUCCGAGUGUAGAGGUGAAAUUCGUAGAUAUUCGGAAGAAACACCAGUGGCGAAGGCGACUCACUGGACACGUAUUGACGCUGAGGUGCGAAAGCGUGGGGAGCAAACAGG
rnacentral:rRNA from 1 species